rnacentral:rRNA from 1 species
ACACAUGCAAGUCGAACGAGAGAGAAGGAGCUUGCUUCUUCGAUCGAGUGGCGAACGGGUGAGUAACGCGUGAGGAACCUGCCUCAAAGAGGGGGACAACAGUUGGAAACGACUGCUAAUACCGCAUAAGCCCACGGAUCGGCAUCGAUCUGAGGGAAAAGGAGCAAUCCGCUUUGAGAUGGCCUCGCGUCCGAUUAGCUAGUUGGUGAGGUAAUGGCCCACCAAGGCGACGAUCGGUAGCCGGACUGAGAGGUUGAACGGCCACAUUGGGACUGAGACACGGCCCAGACUCCUACGGGAGGCAGCAGUGGGGAAUAUUGCACAAUGGGGGAAACCCUGAUGCAGCGACGCCGCGUGGAGGAAGAAGGUCUUCGGAUUGUAAACUCCUGUUGUUGAGGAAGAUAAUGACGGUACUCAACAAGGAAGUGACGGCUAACUACGUGCCAGCAGCCGCGGUAAAACGUAGGUCACAAGCGUUGUCCGGAAUUACUGGGUGUAAAGGGAGCGCAGGCGGGAAGACAAGUUGGAAGUGAAAUCUAUGGGCUCAACCCAUAAACUGCUUUCAAAACUGUUUUUCUUGAGUAGUGCAGAGGUAGGCGGAAUUCCCGGUGUAGCGGUGGAACGCGUAGAUAUCGGGAGGAACACCAGUGGCGAAGGCGGCCUACUGGGCACCAACUGACGCUGAGGCUCGAAAGUGUGGGUAGCAAACAGGAUUAGAUACCCUGGUAGUCCACACCGUAAACGAUGAUUACUAGGUGUUGGAGGAUUGACCCCUUCAGUGCCGCAGUUAACACAAUAAGUAGUCCACCUGGGGAGUACGACCGCA